rnacentral:rRNA from 1 species
UGACCCUGUCUUUUGGUACCUCGUUUCCUCGCGGGUCCGCGUGGACAAAAUUAAAACCCUUGAAUAUUCAAUCAGUGUCUGAGAAACUUAAUAAUUACAACUUUCAACAACGGAUCUCUUGGUUCUGGCAUCGAUGAAGAACGCAGCGAAAUGCGAUAAGUAGUGUGAAUUGCAGAAUUCAGUGAAUCAUCGAAUCUUUGAACGCACAUUGCGCCCCUUGGUAUUCCAUGGGGCAUGCCUGUUCGAGCGUCAUUUGUACCCUCAAGCUUGCUUGGUGUUGGGUGUUUGUCUCGCCUCUGCGCGCAGACUCGCCUCAAAACAAUUGGCAGCCGGCGUAUUGAUUUCGGAGCGCAGUACAUCUCGCGCUCUGCACUCAUAACACACUAGUAUUACUUGACCUCGGAUCAGGUAGGGAUACCCGCUGAACUUAAGCAUAUCAAUAAGCGGAGGAA